UGUUAAGUUUUGUAAAAUUGAAUUUUAUAUUAUUACGUUCUGGUUUUAAUUAUACUGAAAUAAAAAUUUUAAAAAUUUAUUUUGGUAAUAUAUAAUAAAACUUUGGUCACUCUGAUUAAGAAAAAUUCUUCAAAAGAGCAACUACAGCAGAUAAGCAAUUUUUGCGAACACCAUCGUUGCCGUAUCGAUUUACGUGAUUCUAUAUUUCGCCAAUCUCGCUUUUAUGCGCAGACCUUACAAGCAGAAGUAAAAAACUACGACGUACGUCGUUUUACUCGAAUUAUUUUAUUGAGUUUAAACGACAACAUACUGUUUGGCGUAAGAUCAUCUUACUACAAUCUUUAUCGAAACGAUAUGAUGAAUUUGAUAAAACAUUGUCAUGGUAGCAAGUAUUACAUAAGCGCCAUGGAAGGAGUUUUUGAAUGGCCUGGAGAUCAAGACACUAUUUUAAACUUAGAGAUGUUUGAUGAUAGAGGGAUUUAAAUGCGUAUUUAAUAAGAUUUACUAAAUAAUUCGAGGUACAAUAAAGCACUCAUUCGAAUUAACGAACUAUUUCUUUUAACUUAUAUUAGCGCAUAACCUAAUUGUUCCACUUAAAAUAAAUUAAAAUGAUAAUAAUAAAUAAUUUUAAGUAAAAAUAUACAGACCACUGUAAAAAAUCCGGAGUGAAUUGGGAGUUUUUUUUAGC